rnacentral:rRNA from 1 species
CUUGUACACACCGCCCGUCACACCAUGGGAGCGGGUUCUGCCAGAAGUAGUUAGCCUAACCGCAAGGAGGGCGAUUACCACGGCAGGGUUCGUGACUGGGGUGUA